rnacentral:rRNA from 1 species
UACGUAGGGUCCGAGCGUUGUCCGGAAUUAUUGGGCGUAAAGGGCUCGUAGGCGGUCUGUUGCGUCGGGAGUGAAAACUUACGGCUUAACUGUGAGCGUGCUUCCGAUACGGGCAGACUUGAGGUAUUCAGGGGAGAACGGAAUUCCUGGUGUAGCGGUGAAAUGCGCAGAUAUCAGGAGGAACACCGGUGGCGAAGGCGGUUCUCUGGGAAUAUCCUGACGCUGAGGAGCGAAAGUGUGGGGAGCGAACAGG